rnacentral:rRNA from 1 species
UACGGAGGGUGCGAGCGUUGUCCGGAAUCACUGGGCGUAAAGGGUCUGUAGGUGGCUUGUUAAGUCAGACGUGAAAUCCCUCAGCUUAACUGGGGAACUGCGUCUGAUACUGGUGAGCUUGAGUGCAGGAGAGGAACGCGGAAUUCCAGGUGUAGCGGUGAAAUGCGUAGAUAUCUGGAGGAACACCGGUGGCGAAGGCGGCGUUCUGGACUGCAACUGACACUGAGAGACGAAAGCCAGGGGAGCAAACGGG